rnacentral:rRNA from 1 species
CCUACGGGAGGCAGCAGUGGGGAAUAUUGCACAAUGGGCGAAAGCCUGAUGCAGCGACGCCGCGUGAGCGAAGAAGGCCUUCGGGUCGUAAAGCUCUGUCCUAAGGGAAGAAACGGACGGUACCUUAGGAGGAAGCCCCGGCUAACUACGUGCCAGCAGCCGCGGUAA